UACGGAGGGGGGCUAGCGUUGUUCGGAAUUACUGGGCGUAAAGCGCGCGUAGGCGGACCUGGCAAGUCGGGGGUGAAAGCCCGAGGCUCAACCUCGGAACUGCCUUCGAUACUGCGGGUCUCGAGUCCGGGAGAGGUGAGUGGAAUUCCUAGUGUAGAGGUGAAAUUCGUAGAUAUUAGGAAGAACACCAGUGGCGAAGGCGGCUCAGCUGGCCCGGUACUGACGCGUGAGGCGCGAAAGCGUGGGGAGCGAACAGG
rnacentral:rRNA from 1 species